GGAGCUGGGGAGGAUCGGGCUGUAGAGGCACCAGGGAACUGGGGGUUGCGCCAGAGCUGGUGGUAACCGGUGCCUGGGACAGGACUCCAGAGGGAGACAUACUCUGAGAAGUUGGCAGGUUGUAGCCAGGAAAUGCCCAGGUUCCAAUGGAGAGGCCCCACGUUCAUGCACAUAACGGCAGCACUUAAUGGACUCUGUGCAUUUAAAACAGAGGAUAUGGAAUUUGAAGGAACACAUGGGGAGGAAUCGGGGG